CAUAUUUUUUGCAUACGAGAAGUUUCACAAAAUGACAGAAGAGGUUGAACUUAAAAGAGAUCUGACUAAAUAUCAUCUAAGAAAAGUUACAUCUUGUCAGUCUUCAAUUAUCUCUGCCAGUGGAGGAGACCCAGAGACAUGCUUCUACUGGGACUUUUCAGUCAUGUUUAUUUGCAUUUGGCAUCCUGAAGUGUUUUAGUAAUUAACAUUUUAAUAUGGGUGUGCCUGUGGUUCUGGAAAUGUCCAACUGUUUACAUCAAAUAACAAAGCUCCUCAUUGAAGAUGGGCCUGGAAUGCUGUCAGAUGACUUCCAGCCACUGAACCAACUCUGCUGAGGCCUGGAAACAACAGGGGCUUUGGCUUCAGCCAGAGGGAGGUUUAAAAAGCCUGAUGCUGCUUUGCAACUUUUCAGAUUACUCUGGCAAAUAGAGAAAAUGAAAUAAUAGCAAGACCUUUGGCCAUGGAAUUUGAGAAUGGCCUCAGAAGUCAUUAGGGAACUCCUAAACAAAGUCAAGAAAUACACCUAGCAUUCAAUCCCAUAUUUUAAUAUUUAAGUAAUCCAGAUGGAUUGCAAACUUUGAGGUAGACCAGAGUUGCUAAUUACCUGGGUUAGAAGGCUUUAGACCAACCCCUCCUUAAAACAGGACAUUAUGGCAGUAUCUUCUAAAGGGGACCCAGAAGACCUAGGAAGGUCACAUACCAGAAUCACUGGCUGAAAUCCCUGGCCAGUGAGCAGCCUCAACAGAAGAACAGGCUGGAGAACUGUGCGCCACUUCCCUGGCAGCCUCCAGUUGCCACGUACUGAUCACUCACCUCCCUGGACACUGGAUUACCCCACGUAGGAGCUGGGUGGCACAGGGGUUCACACUGAGUUUCUGGUGGCCAGGACUGUUGACUCAGUGCCACCAUGCUGGUAAUGACCUCCUGAGCCAUGGCAGUGCCCAGAGAGCCUAAAGCUUCCCUCAGCACAGCUUUUGCUCCCUCUCCUCUGUUCCACCUUCUACCCUGCGGUGACCCAGUUCCUUGUGCCUCAGCUUCCCUCGUUUGGACUGCAGCCCUGCCCCUGAGUUGGAGCUUAGUGACCCUGCCUUGCUGUUCACCACCUGCCUUCCUCUCCGUCCUUCUGUGGCCCCCAUUGGCUGGGACUCUGCUGGGAUUAAGUUAGUUGCUCAAGAGCCAUGACUUCUUCAUGACUUUAGUCCAUCAUCUGGCCCUUCCCACCACCAUUCCUGCUGCUCAUUUUGCUCUCUGAAGAUGUUGAUAGUUGCCUGAACCAAAUCUUAGCUUGCCUUACCUGCUCAACCCACUGGUUACUCUCCCAGAGCGGUCCAGCCUGCCAGGUUAGCCUCCCUGCUCUCACCCACCAAGCUGGUCCUGGCUCUGCCCUCAUCCAUCAGCAGGUGCUGCUGGAAUGUUGAUGAUAACAGUGAUGAAUAGCAAUGAAGAGCCAAGUCUGCCCUGAACUGUCUUGGGUGCUUGAGGUACCUCAUCAGCAGUGUGUGCAAACCUCGGGCUCUUAUGAUUGUCUCAGUUUGAAAAAACCUCCUCCUAAUAUACAACCAUCUGAGCUGGCUGUGGUGAUGCACGCCUGUAAUCCUAGCACUCUGGGAGGCUGAGACAGGAAGAGGACAAGUUUGAGCCUGGUCUGGGCAACUCAUUGAGACGCUAUCCCAAAAUAAAAAUAAAAAGGGCUGAGGAGGUAGCUAGCUCAUCUUUGCGCUAAACUAGUAUGGCCAGAGAUCUUAACAGAGACACACUUAAUCAUUCAUUCAACGAACACCGACCAGGUACUGUGUCACUGGGACACAAUACCUGUCACUCACAAGUUAAAGAAGGAAAGGUUUAUUUUAGUUCAAUUUGUAGAGGUUUCAGUCCAUAGUCGGCUGGCCCCAAGGCAGGGUGGCACACUGCAGAGGGGCAUCGCAGAGGAGAGCAGGCAAGAAGCAGGGAAAAGGCCAGGGAGGAGGAGGGAGACAGACCCUGCCAGGCCACGCCCCCAGUGACACCUCCUCCCAUCAGGCCAUACCUCUCCA
ensembl:lncRNA